rnacentral:snoRNA from 1 species
AAACUCCAGAUUCCUUACCUCUCAGAUCUAAAUAUGGUCCAAGUGGCUUAAAGAGGAAAAUAAAACUGAAGAGGACUUGGAGUCUUGGGAACCUAUAGGUUCAUUUCAAACAUAU